AAAAAUCUGAACCAAGUUUGAAUAUUACACACGUGCUAAAAAAACUUGGAUGCAAACGCAACAAAUAAUGGCUUGUAUUUCUUUCCUUUGAGAUCUAUGGAACACCAAAGAUCAGAAGAUCACAGCAAGGAACACUCUUUUACAUUAUAGUAUUAAUAAACAAAAUAAAGUAGAUUGAAUCUAAAACAUGCACGAUAUUCAUCCGAAUAGCGAAGAACACAGUAAGAUAAGCUGACAUGAAUCUUAAACAUGAUGCCAUCCGUCGUCGAAUAGUUUUUAUUCCCUUGCGAUCUAAUUCGACUAGAUCAGAGCCUCAAGGUCAGGUCGAGCUCCUCGCCGUCUCCAUCAUCGUUAACCUGCGGCUCCGCAUCCUCGUGCUCCAUGACCCGCUGUGCCGCUGGCGCCCCCGGCAGCCCGAGGAAGUUUAUCUCCACCGGAGGGCGCCAUCCAUGGCAGUACUCCUCCCAGAAGAAGCUGUUAGGAGCCAACAGCCACGGCCCCCGCAGAGCACAGACGGGAGGAGCAAACACCCAUAUGACCUGCGCAAGAUACAGACAGAUUCGAUUAGAGCAGACAGAGUCGAGUCGAGGGGAGUCGAGAUGGGCAGAGGCUGGCUUACCGGCGCGUCCUCCUGACGGCGCUUGCGCUUUUUGUCGCAGCCACGGG
rnacentral:lncRNA from 1 species